UUAAAAGAGAGUGAAGAAAUGAGGCCAACCAGAUGCAGUGUACAGACUUGGGCCACAGUGGGGGAGGUGACAGCAGACGGUUUGGUGGGAAGGAACGCACCAGAGCCCCAUGGGCCUGCCUGGCCAGCUCGCUUGGUCAUCCUGGUAAAACAGCAGAGCUCUCUGUUCCAAGAGGCCCACGCGCAGCCCCACAUGCCUGCUGAUCUGUGUACACACGUGUGUGCACUCUAGCAAGCCUCACUUUAAUUGUGAAGAAACAUGGGAACCGGUGCUCCCACCCGGGCUGUGGGAGUGUGGUGCGGUGGGGCCUGGACACGGGGAGGGUCCGAAGUGGGGCCAGCUCCCUGGAGUCAGGCAUGUCUGUCUCAAGCUGCCCCUGUCCCUUGCUGAAUGGGAACCCCCACCAGCUGCCUCGGGAGCCCGUGUCCUUACACUCUAUUCGGAUCUGCUCCAGCUCCGUCACCUCAGCAAUGGACUCCUUCAGGUCCUCCACGAACUUCUGCAUCUCGUCCGAGCCCAGGGCACAGAAAUGCAGCACCUGCUUCUUCUCGGAGCCCGAGAGCGGGGUCACCAGUGUGAUGCCAUGAGAGUAAUCUGGAAAGCAGACCCCAGGCCCCCAGUGGGCUGUGAGCAGCAGCAGCCGAGGGCCAGAGCCAGCCAGACAUGAGGAGGGCACGGGGUCUCAUGCCUCCACCCACUCUGCUGUCCAGCCCUUCUCCCUCAACUCGCCCCAGCCAUUUCAUCCAUUCAUUCCUUCUCAAAGACUUACACUGGCUGUCAAAGACUUACACUCGUUCUCAAAGAGCUGGAACUGCAUGCCCAGCAGGCCAACUGACUUGCAAAAGGUGUACGUGGAGGAGCUCUUCUUCUUCGGGCAAAGUUUGAGAAUCUGUUCAGGAGAGGGAAACAGGCAUGCCCUGAUGAACAGACACUCACGGACACAUGGAUGCACAAACACCCGGGGGAUGCACGAUCACACAAACCCACGCAGUGAUGAAUGUGCACAUACAGCUUCUGUGAGCUGAGCCCUGGAGAUACAGGAGAACUCAGGACAGAGCCCCUGCCCUUAAGGUGCUUAUGGAAUGUGGAGUGUCACAGUGU
rnacentral:lncRNA from 1 species